CCUACGGGAGGCAGCAGUAAGGAAUAUUGGUCAAUGGGCGCAAGCCUGAACCAGCCAUGCCGCGUGCAGGAAGACGGCCCUAUGGGUUGUAAACUGCUUUUGAACAAGAGAAAACCUCGGUACGUGUACCGAGCUGAUAGUAUUGUUAGAAUAAGCAUCGGCUAACUUCGUGCCAGCAGCCGCGGUAAGACGAAGGAUGCAAGCGUUAUCCGGAUUCAUUGGAUUUAAAGGGUGCGUAGGCGGCCUGAUAAGUCAGUGGUGAAAUCUCUCAGCUUAACUGAGAAACUGCCAUUGAUACUGUCGGGCUUGAGUACAGAUGAUGUGGGCGGAAUAUGACAUGUAGUGGUGAAAUACUUAGAUAUGUCAUAGAACACCGAUUGCGAAGGCAGCUCACAAAACUGUAAACUGACGCUGAGGCACGAAAGUGCGGGGAUCAAACAGGAUUAGAUACCCUGGUAGUCCGCACCGUAAACGAUGAUUACUCGUUGUUGGCAAUAUGACCGUCAGCGACCAAGCGAAAGCGAUAAGAAUCCACCCUGGGAGUACGCCGGCAACGGUGAAACUUAAAUGAAUUGACCGGNNGAGAGNGCGAGCGACGACGAGGGAGAGG
rnacentral:rRNA from 1 species